UACAGAGGUCCCAAGCGUUGUUCGGAUUCACUGGGCGUAAAGGGUGUGUAGGUGGCGCGCUAAGUCGGGUGUGAAAUUUCGGAGCUUAACUCCGAAACUGCAUUCGAUACUGGCGUGCUUGAGGACUGGAGAGGAGACUGGAAUUCAUGGUGUAGCAGUGAAAUGCGUAGAGAUCAUGAGGAAGACCAGUGGCGAAGGCGGGUCUCUGGACAGUUCCUGACACUGAGACGCGAAGGCCAGGGGAGCAAACGGG
rnacentral:rRNA from 1 species